CCGAUUCUCAUUUUGCUGCCUGGUUUACACGCGAAAACCCUAGUUUUCUAAGCUGUUUCUGUAAAAUUUUUAAGCUUGGAAAGCAAAUAUGGGCAUCUAUCUAUGAUUCUCUGUGUUCAUGAUUAUGGUAGCACAAAGAAUACGAAAGAUGCAAAAGAAAUCAGAGGUACUUUCGGACAAGCAGAUUCCUUUUUUCCUUUGUUCUGUCAUGGAUUCUUGCUCUUUCUCGUAGGUUCCAUAUUUUUGCUCUUCUCAAACACAUUGAUUGCUCUAUGAUGAUUGAUUUUGCUUUAACCACACCGAAUAGAGACGGAAAGAUGAAGAAGAAGGCUUUGUCAAGCGCCAGAAGUGAUUUGGUUUCGUUAUUCUUUGCUUAAGGCUUAGAGAUGCACUCGCUUCGAGUUCUCUGCUGUGGACAACUGUGGCCUUUCAACUGAGAGCAUUCAUUUAAUUUUUAUUGUUUGUUUUAGUAUCUAAAUCAUGGUUAUUGUGUUGGAUAAUUGAGACCCAACAAUUUAGGUGGA